rnacentral:rRNA from 1 species
AGAGUUUGAUCCUGGCUCAGGGUGAACGCUGGUAACGUGGAUACCGGCAUGCAAGUCGAGCGGCCAAGCACCUAGCAAUAGGUGCUCGGCAGCGGCGAACGGCUUAGUAACACGUAGAUACAAACCUCCAACACGGGCAUAACCCAUCGAAAGAUGGGCUAAUUCCCGAUAGUUCUCGUAAGAGUAAAUGGUGUCCGCAAGGAUUACCGGUUGGAGAUUGGUCUGCGGCCUAUCAGCUUGUUGGUGAGGUAAUGGCUCACCAAGGCUAUGACGGGUAGGGGGCGUGAGAGCGCGACCCCCAAGAAUGGCACUGCGACACGGGCCAUACUCCUACGGGAGGCUGCAGUCGAGAAUCUUCCGCAAUGGGCGAAAGCCUGACGGAGCGACGUUACGUGAAUGAAGAAGCUCUUCGGAGUGUAAAGUUCUUUUAUUUGGGAGGAAGCCGCAAGGCAGACAGUACCAAAUGAAUAAGGGGAUACUAAUUCUGUGCCAGCAGUAGCGGUAAGACAGAAUCCCCAAGCGUUACCCGGAUUUAUUGGGCGUAAAGGGUCCGUAGGUGGUAAAGUAAGUUUUGAGUUAAAACUCAUUGGCUUAACCUUUGAGCUGCUCAAAAUACUGCUUUACUAAGAGGGCGUUAGGGGUUAACGGAACCGACGGAGUAGGGGUGAAAUCCGUUGAUAUCGUCGGGAACACCAAAAGCGAAGGCAGUUAACUAGGACGACCCUGACACUGAGGGACGAAAGCGUGGGGAGCAAAAAGGAUUAGAUACCCUGGUAGUCC